AGAGUUUGAUCCUGGCUCAGGACGAACGCUGGCGGCGUGCUUAACACAUGCAAGUCGAGCGGGGAUUAAGAUUGGAAGGCUUCGGCCGGAAGAUUUUGAUUCUAGCGGCGGACGGGUGAGUAACGCGUGAGCAAUCUGUCCCACACAGGGGGAUAACACUUGGAAACAGGUGCUAAUACCGCAUAAGACCACGAGGUCGCAUGGCCAUGGGGUAAAAGAAUUAUCGGUGUGGGGUGAGCUCGCGUCCCAUUAGCUAGUUGGUGAGGUAACGGCCCACCAAGGCGACGAUGGGUAGCCGACCUGAGAGGGUGAUCGGCCACAUUGGAACUGAGACACGGUCCAGACUCCUACGGGAGGCAGCAGUGGGGAAUAUUGGGCAAUGGGCGCAAGCCUGACCCAGCAACGCCGCGUGAAGGAAGAAGGUUUUCGGAUUGUAAACUUCUGUCCUAAGUGACGAACACAAUGACGGUAGCUUAGGAGGAAGCCCCGGCUAACUACGUGCCAGCAGCCGCGGUAAUACGUAGGGGGCAAGCGUUGUCCGGAAUGACUGGGCGUAAAGGGCGUGUAGGCGGCUCUUUAAGUCUGAAGUGAAAGUCCUGCUUUCAAGGUGGGAAUUGCUUUGGAGACUGGAGAGCUUGAGUGCGGAAGAGGUAAGUGGAAUUCCCAGUGUAGCGGUGAAAUGCGUAGAGAUUGGGAGGAACACCAGUGGCGAAGGCGACUUACUGGGCCGUAACUGACGCUGAGGCGCGAAAGCGUGGGGAGCGAACAGGAUUAGAUACCCUGGUAGUCCACACCGUAAACGAUGGAUACUAGGUGUAGGGAGGGUUAAACCUUUCUGUGCCGCCGUAAACACAAUAAGUAUCCCACCUGAGUAGUACGACCGCAAGGUUAAAACUCAAAGGAAUUGACGGGGGCCCGCACAAGCAGUGGAGUAUGUGGUUUAAUUCGAAGCAACGCGAAGAACCUUACCAGGGCUUGACAUAUACAGGAAUACUUAAGAGAUUAAGUAGCUCUUCGGAGCUUGUAUACAGGUGGUGCAUGGUUGUCGUCAGCUCGUGUCGUGAGAUGUUGGGUUAAGUCCCGCAACGAGCGCAACCCCUGUUGUUAGUUGCCAUCAAGUAAAGUUGGGCACUCUAACGAGACUGCCGGUGAUAAAUCGGAGGAAGGUGGGGACGACGUCAAAUCAUCAUGCUCUUUAUGUCCUGGGCUACACACGUACUACAAUGGCGAGAACAGAGGGAAGCAAAACCGCGAGGUAGAGCCAAACCCUAAAACUCGUCUCAGUUCAGAUUGCAGUCUGAAAUUCGACUGUAUGAAGAUGGAAUUGCUAGUAAUUGCAGGUCAGCAUACUGCAGUGAAUACGUUCUCGGGCCUUGCACACACCGCCCGUCA
rnacentral:rRNA from 1 species